rnacentral:rRNA from 1 species
UCGGGAAUAUUGCGGCAAUGGAGGAAACUCUGACGCAGUGACGCCGCGUAUAGGAAGAAGGUUUUCGGAUUGUAAACUAUUGUAGACAGGGAAGAUACAAGACAGUACCUGUAAAGUAAGCCCCGGCUAACUAUGUGCCAGCAGCCGCGGUAAUACAUAGGGGGCGAGCGUUAUCCGGAAUUAUUGGGUGUAAAGGGUGCGUAGACGGGAAUUUUAAGUUAGUUGUGAAAUCCCUCGGCUCAACUGAGGAACUGCAACUAAAACUGGAUUUCUUGAGUGCGGGAGAGGAAAGUGGAAUUCCUAGUGUAGCGGUGAAUGCGUAGAUAUUAGGAGGA